rnacentral:lncRNA from 1 species
CCUUAUGCUGAGCCUUCCCAUCCACUCUAAAGGAUGUGGCUCGGUAUUGGUAUUCGAGCUUGAAGCUCAGGACCAUCCACUCAUUUGACCAGAUGCAUCAUUUGUUUGUGACUCAUUUUAUUAGCUGCAGGAGGCAGUGUAAGGGAUCGGAUUCAUUGAUCAACAUCAAGCAGAAUGAAGGAGAAUUGCUCUGAUCCUAUCUUGGCCAUUUCAAUAUGACCAUCCUAAAAGUUCACGAUCUGGAUUAGUCGAUCACAAUGACCACUCUAAAGGAUGGACUUUUGAAGAAUAGUCUCUGAUACUCGCUGGAGAAGACCUACCCCUGCGACUUCACAGAAAUAUUGGCUCAGGCAGAAAAGUAUGCCCAGACGAAUGAAGCCUUCGAAAAUGAGCCCCCAAUGGGUGCGGGCGCCAAAGAAAAGAAAGAAAAAGAGGUCAAGGUGCCACUACAGAAAGAAGACAAUGAAAAGAAUCAACAGUAUUCCCGAUCUCCACCUAGAUGUCGAAGGUCCCGAACCCCUCCACAAAACCAUCGACAGAAGAGCCCCCUUGAACUCAAGUGCUGAUGGGGAUAAAGGAGCAGCUCCCCUGGGCAAGGAAGAUGAAGGCAAAGUCAGGUCAGUAUAACUCAAAUAAGUACUACUUCUACCAUCGCGACCAC